rnacentral:rRNA from 1 species
GGCCUAUCAGCUUGUUGGUGAGGUAAUGGCUCACCAAGGCGACGACGGGUAGCCGGCCUGAGAGGGCGACCGGCCACACUGGGACUGAGACACGGCCCAGACUCCUACGGGAGGCAGCAGUGGGGAAUAUUGCACAAUGGGCGAAAGCCUGAUGCAGCGACGCCGCGUGAGGGAUGACGGCCUUCGGGUUGUAAACCUCUUUCAGCAGGGAAGAAGCGAAAGUGACGGUACCUGCAGAAGAAGCGCCGGCUAACUACGUGCCAGCAGCCGCGGUAAUACGUAGGGCGCAAGCGUUGUCCGGAAUUAUUGGGCGUAAAGAGCUCGUAGGCGGCUUGUCACGUCGGUUGUGAAAGCCCGGGGCUUAACCCCGGGUCUGCAGUCGAUACGGGCAGGCUAGAGUUCGGUAGGGGAGAUCGGAAUUCCUGGUGUAGCGGUGAAAUGCGCAGAUAUCAGGAGGAACACCGGUGGCGAAGGCGGAUCUCUGGGCCGAUACUGACGCUGAGGAGCGAAAGCGUGGGGAGCGAACAGGAUUAGAUACCCUGGUAGUCCACGCCGUAAACGGUGGGCACUAGGUGUGGGGCAACAUUCCACGUUGUCCGUGGCCGCAGCUAACGCAAUUAAGUGCCCCGCCUGGGGGAGUACGG